UCAACAACUAAUCCACAAAGCAGAUAACUGAAAUGGAGUCUCACUCUGUCGCCCAGGCUGGAGUACAGUGGCGCAAUCUCGGCUCACUACAAACUCCGUCUCCCGGGUUCAAGCCAUUCUCCUGCCUCAGCCUCCCAAGCAGCUGGGACUACAGACGCCCCCCACCAUGCCCGGCUAUUUUUUUUUUAUUUUUUGUAGAGACGGGGUUUCACCGUGUUAGCCAGGAUGGUCUCGAUCUCCUAACCUCGUGAUCUGCCCGCCUCGGCCUCCCAAAGUGCUGGGAUUACAGGCGUGAGACACCGCGUCUGGCUAAUUAUGGUUAUUCUUAUCAUCAUCAUUUGAAAGAACAGUUGUAAAUAAAGAGAGUAAAUAAAUUA
ensembl:lncRNA LIX1L-AS1 LIX1L antisense RNA 1